GAUGAAGAACGUAGCGAAAUGCGAUAAGUAAUGUGAAUUGCAGAAUUCAGUGAAUCAUCGAAUCUUUGAACGCACAUUGCGCCCGCCAGUAUUCUGGCGGGCAUGCCAGUCUGAGCGUCAUUUCAACCCUCAUGCCCCUAGGGCGUGGUGUUGGGGAUCGGCCAAAGCCCGCGAGGGACGGCCGGCCCCUAAAUCUAGUGGCGGACCCGUCGUGGCCUCCUCUGCGAAGUAGUGAUAUUCCGCAUCGGAGAGCGAUGAGCCCCUGCCGUUAAACCCCCAACUUUCCAAGGUUGACCUCAGAUCAGGUAGGAAUACCCGCUGAACUUAAGCAUAUCAAUAAGCGGAGGA
rnacentral:misc_RNA from 1 species